CUGAGUGAGGGCCGUCGGGCUCGACCUCCAACCCUUUGUGAACACAACUUGUUGCUUCGGGGGCGACCCUGCCGUUUCGACGGCGAGCGCCCCCGGAGGCCUUCAAACACUGCAUCUUUGCGUCGGAGUUUAAGUAAAUUAAACA
rnacentral:misc_RNA from 1 species